CCCUGGCUCAGGACGAACGCGGCGGCGUGCCUAAUACAUGCAAGUCGAGCGGAUUUAAUUGAAAGCUUGCUUUAAUUAAGUUAGCGGCGGACGGGUGAGUAACACGUGGGUAACCUGCCUUUAAGACUGGGAUAACAUUCGGAAACGGAUGCUAAUACCGGAUAGGCGAUUUGGUCGCAUGAUCGAAUCGAGAAAGAUGGAGCAAUCUAUCACUUAGAGAUGGACCCGCGGCGCAUUAGCUAGUUGGUGAGGUAACGGCUCACCAAGGCGACGAUGCGUAGCCGACCUGAGAGGGUGAUCGGCCACACUGGGACUGAGACACGGCCCAGACUCCUACGGGAGGCAGCAGUAGGGAAUCUUCCGCAAUGGACGAAAGUCUGACGGAGCAACGCCGCGUGAGUGAUGAAGGUUUUCGGAUCGUAAAGCUCUGUUGCCAGGGAAGAACGCUUGGGAUAGUAACUGCUCCCAAGGUGACGGUACCUGAGAAGAAAGCCCCGGCUA
rnacentral:rRNA from 1 species